rnacentral:sRNA from 1 species
UGGAGAUAACUGUAUUGUAUUUUAAGCUUGGCCUUCGUUAGUAGGUAAACUAAAUUUACGUAGGCCAAGCUUAAAAAACAAUACAUUUAUCUCCUAAUUUUCGU